rnacentral:rRNA from 1 species
UACAGAGGGUGCAAGCGUUGCUCGGAAUUAUUGGGCGUAAAGGGUAGGUAGGUGGUCUCAUUUGUCUGGGGUGAAAGCCUUGAGCUUAACUCAAGAAGUGCCCUGGAAACGGUGAGACUAGAGUUCUGGAGAGGGUCGUGGAAUUCCCGGUGUAGCGGUGAAAUGCGUAGAGAUCGGGAGGAACACCAGAGGCGAAAGCGGCGGCCUGGACAGAUACUGACACUCAACUACGAAAGCGUGGGGAGCAAACAGG